UAUUNNGGAAAGUAAAAAGUUGGUAACCAAAGGUUUUCCGGUNGGGGAACCCAGCGGGAGGGGAUCCAUUACUGGGGUUUUCCGCUUUUAUAACCCCUUUGUGAACAUACCCUAUAAACUGUUGCUUCGGCGGGGUAGGGUCUUCCGCGACCCUUCCCGGCCUCCCGCCCCCCGGGCGGGUCGGCGCCCGCCGGAGGAUAACCAAACUCUGAUUCAACGACGUUUCUUCUGAGUGGUACAAGCAAAUAAUCAAAACUUUUAACAACGGAUCUCUUGGUUCUGGCAUCGAUGAAGAACGCAGCGAAAUGCGAUAAGUAAUGUGAAUUGCAGAAUUCAGUGAAUCAUCGAAUCUUUGAACGCACAUUGCGCCCGCCAGCAUUCUGGCGGGCAUGCCUGUUCGAGCGUCAUUUCAACCCUCAAGCUCCGCUUGGUGUUGGGGCCCUACAGCUGAUGUAGGCCCUCAAAGGUAGUGGCGGACCCUCCUGGAGCCUCCUUUGCGUAGUAACUUUACGUCUCGCACUGGGAUCCGGAGGGACUCUUGCCGUAAAACCCCCCAAUUCCAAAGGUGACCUCGAUCAGU
rnacentral:rRNA from 1 species